rnacentral:rRNA from 1 species
UACGGAGGGAGCUAGCGUUGUUCGGAUAUACUGGGCGUAAAGCGCACGUAGGCGGCGUCGUAAGUCAGGGGUGAAAUCCCGGAGCUCAACUCCGGAACUGCCCUUGAAACUGCAAUGCUAGAAUCUUGGAGAGGCGAGUGGAAUUCCGAGUGUAGAGGUGAAAUUCGUAGAUAUUCGGAAGAACACCAGUGGCGAAGGCGACUCGCUGGACAAGUAUUGACGCUGAGGUGCGAAAGCCAGGGGAGCGAACGGG